rnacentral:misc_RNA from 1 species
AAGUCGUAACAAGGUUUCCGUAGGUGAACCUGCGGAAGGAUCAUUAUCGUAGGGCUUCGGCCCUGUCGAGAUAGAACCCUUGCCUUUUUGAGUACCUUUCGUUCCCUCGGCAGGCUCGCCUGCCAAUGGGGACCCCCAAAAACGCUUUGCAGUACCUGUAAUCGUCUGAACAACAAACAAAAAUUAAAA